AAUGAACGCUGGCGGCGCGCCUAAUACAUGCAAGUCGAGCGAGAAGACGUAGCAAUACGUUUGUAAAGCGGCGAACGGGUGAGGAAUACAUGGGUAACCUACCCUCGAGUGGGGAAUAACUAGCCGAAAGGUUAGCUAAUACCGCGUACGCUUCUUGGACUUCGGUUCAGGGAGGAAAGCGAUGCCGAGGGUAUCGCGCUCUUGGAUGGGCUCAUGUCCUAUCAGCUUGUUGGGAGGUACGCUC
rnacentral:rRNA from 1 species